rnacentral:lncRNA from 1 species
GGGAAUCGAGGUCGGGCUCUGGCGACGGCGCGGCCGGAAUUGCUCGCCUCGCGGUCGUUGAUCUCGGGGGCCCAGCGGCCCGAGGCUGGCGGCCCUCCGGGGAACUCGUCGCAGAGGCUGCCCUUAAGCGAACCCAAACCCGCCCUCCCCCCGGGGCCCGGGAGCCCCAGACUUCACGUUCGCACUGCGAGUUCCCGAGGGAAAAGCCGCCCGCCAGCUCGCCGCGGCCAGGAGGGGCCGCGUGGUGUGUUGCUCAAGUCCCCGGGGGCACCGCGGACGGGCGCGCUCCCUGUCCGCCGCCAGGGUAACGUUUCAAGCCGGCGUCAAAGAAGAGCAGCCUCCGCUUCCGAGGAGUUUUGCGUGCGGAAAUGUGACGGGGUCCGGGAAAGGCCGGUGGUUGGGAAACGCCAGAUUUAGCAGGGGGAAACGUCAGGCUGCAAGGGGCCGACGGGGUCGUUUAAACUAAGGAAGGUCUUUUGUGAGGAAUGUAGGCUUUUGAGGAAUGGUUUGAAGGUGGGGAAGAAGACAGAGGCACCGCACGCGUUUUCUUUUUAUAUUAUUAUUUCCUCCCCCCCCCUUUCUCCAGGUUUUUUAUUGAUUUGUUCAUUCCACACGCAUUGGUUGCUUGAUUGCUGAUAGCAGUUAUACCCGUCUUUUCCUCCAACGCAUUCAAUGUGCAUGGCUGUUCUCCUUCCUUUUCCUCUCACAACAAUCCCCUGAGCCUGAGAGAGAGAGAGAGAGAAUAAGUGGCCCAGAAUCACCAACUUUCCAGUUUGGACACUUGGGCUCAAAAAGGUUCACCAUCACUGAUCUACAGGAUACCCUCUUCUGCUCACUGCCGUCGCCGGCGAGUGUUGGAGGGCGCGGACCGACGAGCUCUCGGGGACCCCGGGCGGCGGAGCUUCGGAGCGGCAGCCUCGCCACCGGCUCCCUCAUCCCCGGGCGGAGCCUUCUGCUCAAAAAGACAAGACAGAGAUAUUUCCUUAGCUACUUUUCCUGGCUCUUUCCAGGCAUCCCCCUCCCCUGCCUCUCCAUGCAAAACUUUGCUUUUGGGCCUGGCUUCUUCAGAGACUGGCUGGCAGGCUGUCAAGCUUAACGAAAAAGAAUAGAUUCAAGGUCAGUAGACCAUUCAUGUCAACAAUGAAAGAUGAGGUAUUUGGGCAGGCUGUAUGUGCCUGCCCACUCAUGCAUGCCACUCUGUAUUAUGAGGGGGUCAUUUGGGGCUUGUCUGGAAUCCAUAGAUACAUACAUUUAUGGCAGGGUGGGCGCAGCUACCUGAAGAGAAGUGGAAUGUUCCUACAUGUGUGUAUGUGUAGAACAGAGUUUUGAGACAAGCACAAGGAUCCAACAUGGAGUGGAAAUAAAAUGGGAAGGACAGGAUUUCA